UACGUGGGGGGCGAGCGUUGUUCGGAAUUAUUGGGCGUAAAGGGUGCGUAGGCGGUUUGGUAAGCCUGAUGUGAAAUCUAUGGGCUCAACUCAUAGUCUGCAUGAGAAACUGCCGGGCUUGAGUAUGGGAGAGGUGAGUGGAAUUCCUGGUGUAGCGGUGAAAUGCGUAGAUAUCAGGAGGAACACCUGUGGCGAAAGCGGCUCACUGGACCAUAACUGACGCUGAUGCACGAAAGCUAGGGGAGCAAACAGG
rnacentral:rRNA from 1 species